rnacentral:rRNA from 1 species
AGCCUGAUCCAGCAAUACCGCGUGUGUGAAGAAGGCCUGAGGGUUGUAAAGCACUUUCAAUAGGGAGGAAUACCUGAUGUUUAAUACGCAUCAGACUGACAUUACCUAUAGAAGAAGCACCGGCUAACUCCGUGCCAGCAGCCGCGGUAAUACGGAGGGUGCAAGCGUUAAUCGGAAUUACUGGGCGUAAAGCGUACGUAGGCGGUCCGUUAAGUUAGAUGUGAAAGCCCCGGGCUUAACCUGGGAACUGCAUUUAAAACUGGCGGACUAGAGUUGAGUAGAGGGGAGUGGAAUUUCAGGUGUAGCGGUGAAAUGCGUAGAGAUCUGAAGGAACACCAGUGGCGAAGGCGACUCCCUGGACUCAAACUGACGCUGAGGUACGAAAGCGUGGGUAGCAAACGGGAUUAGAUGCCCCGGUAGUCCACGCCGUAAACGAUGUCAACUAACUGUUGGGUUCUUUAAGAACUUAGUGGUGGAGCUAACGUAUUAAGUUGACCGCCUGGGGAGUACG